CGAGUCUCCUGAAGGAACGUUGAAGACGACGACGUUGAUAGGCCGGGUGUGUAAGCGCAGCGAUGCGUUGAGCUAACCGGUACUAAUGAACCGUGAGGCUUAACCUUACAACGCCGAAG
rnacentral:rRNA from 4 species